GCUCUGCAUCUGCCAAGGCUAUGCAGGCCGUCCAUCUUGUGUGGUCAGCCGGGUUAUCCUCCUUCGGGAAACACGUUUAUGGGUUGGGCAUAACGCAGAGUAGUGUAAACAUCGAAACGCGUGGCCUGC
rnacentral:sRNA from 12 species